UUCCUAAUGACAUCAGCUAGACUUCUUUUCCUUCUAUUUUUAUUCCUCAUAGGUGAACUGAAAACUUUUGAAAAAUUUUCCCUGUACUUGCACUCAACCCCCGACCUAAGAUUCAGUUAGCCAAAUGCAGCAACUUGCUUGUAUAGCCGUAUGGUGAUAUUCAAUUUUCUCUUCGGGCUUAAGGUUGAGUUAACUAAAGUAAACUUGUAUGAGAG
rnacentral:misc_RNA from 1 species